CUUACAACUUUCAGUGAUUGAUGUCUCGGCUCGAGCAAUGAUGAAGGGCGCAGCGAANUGUGAUAAGCAUUGUGAAUUGCAGGAUUCCGUGAGCCAAUAGGGACUUGAACGUACACUGUGCUUUCGGGAUAUCCCUGAAAGCGUGCCUGCUUCAGUGUCC
rnacentral:rRNA from 1 species